rnacentral:rRNA from 1 species
GAUGAACGCUGGCGGCGUGCCUAAUACAUGCAAGUCGAACGCAUUGAGAGAAGUGCUUGCACUUUUCAAUUUGAGUGGCGAACGGGUGAGUAACACGUGGGCAACCUACCUGAUAGCGGGGGAUAACGAGUGGAAACAUUCGCUAAUACCGCAUAACAAUAGAGAAGGCAUCUUCUUUAUUUAAAAGGCGCUUUCAAGCGUCACUAUCAGAUGGGCCCGCGGUGCAUUAGUUAGUUGGUGGGGUGAAGGCCUACCAAGACGAUGAUGCAUAGCCGGGUUGAGAGACUGGUCGGCCACAUUGGGACUGAGACACGGCCACAACUCCUACGGGAGGCUGCAGUAGGGAAUCUUCCACAAUGGACGAAAGUCUGAUGGAGCAACGCCGCGUGUGUGAUGAAGGCUUUCGGGUCGUAAAGCACUGUUGUAUGGGAAGAAAUGCUAGGCUAGGAAAUGAGCUUAGUUUGACGGUACCAUACCAGAAAGGGACGGCUAAAUACGUGCCAGCCGCCGCGGUAA